GUGGGGAAUAUUGGACAAUGGGCGAAAGCCUGAUCCAGCAAUGCCGCGUGAGUGAAGAAGGCCUUAGGGUUGUAAAGCUCUUUUGCCCGGGAAGAUAAUGACUGUAGCCGGAGAAGAAGCCCCGGCUAACUUCGUGCCAGCAGCCGCGGUAAUACGAAGGGGGCUAGCGUUGCUCGGAUUUACUGGGCGUAAAGCGCGCGUAGGCGGACCAGAAAGUUGGAGGUGAAAUCCCAGGGCUCAACCUUGGAACUGCCUUCAAAACUCCUGGUCUGGAGUUCGAGAGAGGUGAGUGGAAUUCCGAGUGUAGAGGUGAAAUUCGUAGAUAUUCGGAGGAACACCAGUGGCGAAGGCGGCUCACUGGCUCGAUACUGACGCUGAGGUGCGAAAGCGUGGGGAGCAAACAGGAUUAGAAACCCUUGUAGUCC
rnacentral:rRNA from 1 species